GUUAGAAGAGGUGUUUGUAGCUGUCAUACGACCAAAGAACACAGCCAGCCUCAACUCCAAAGAGUACCGAGCUAAAGCCUUUGAGAUUUUACUUAUUGAAGUUCCCCUGGAGGGAAA